rnacentral:lncRNA from 1 species
GGGUGGUGGGGAGUAUUCUGUCUCCCACACCAUCAAGGAGAUAUGAGCCCACCAUCCUCAGAAAACUUCCCAGAUCAAAUAUAUGGCUUAAGUGAAUUCUUAUAAGGCAAACACCAUCAGGUUGAGAAUUACAACCCUACAUCUUUUCACCUAAUCUUAGCAACUGGAUCCACAUGAACACAGUUUUAUAGGUGUUGGGACCUUAUGACUCAACUUAGUUGGGGGGUGAUGGAAAAGUUCAUCUGGCCCAACCCCUGAGUGUGACUGAGUUAGGUCAAAGUUCAUGCCUUGUGUUAAUAAACCAGUCUGUAAACACUGACCCACCAAACUCAUACCCAAGGGAAGACAGAACAGGCUAGUCAAUUGCACAGGUGACCAUCACCGUGCCGCCCCCAUCCCCCGCCCCAACCCCAUGAAUCCCGGGGGUGCCGGGAUUUCCUGCCUUUGCUGAGGAAGCAAGAGAUCAGCUGUUUACUCCUUUCCCGACUUUACAGAAUAAAUAAAUAACUGAAGUGUCUCACUUACAAACAAUGCUUCUAACAGAACCUAAGUACUUGCAGACAAUGAGCUGUGAUUCAUGUUUGCAAAUGAGAUAAGAGUUUUACCAUUUUCUCUCCCCUCGUGAUCUAUUCACAGGCCAAGUCGCUGGAAGCAUGGCCCGCCCACAGACCCACCAGAGCCCAUCUAGGGAGACACAGUCCCCUUAUGAGGCUCCGGCCAAAAAAGUUUUGUGGUUGGUGAAAGGGCUCUCUAAGAGUGUUCCCUUAGGCAGAAAGAGCCAGUUAGCUCGGGGAAAUGGAUUCUUACAUACAGCACUUCCAUCUUCCCAGCCAGCCCAGGCCCUGAGGACCACGGGGACCCCUCCCCAGGCAACUCCCAGACAGGAGGGGCGCCUGGUGCAAGCACCCUUGGCUUCCCCCUGCCCCAAUUCGGGAGUUCUAAGCCUGCCUGCCCUCCUUGACAGGACGUAUUUAAAGCUCCUUUUGCUGCUCAAAGUUGGGUUGUCUUGUCAUCUUCUCCUGGUGACACUGAGUAGAACAGCCCCCUCCGGGUCUCCUGACCACCUGACCGCCACUCACAUCCUUCCCAGAACUGCCUCCAAAACCAUCCAGAAAACUUCUCUUCUUUGA